rnacentral:rRNA from 1 species
UGCCAGCAGCCGCGGUAAUACGGAAGGUGCAAGCGUUAUCCGGAAUCACUGGGCGUAAAGCGUACGUAGGCGGACUGAUCAGUCAGAGGUGAAAUCCCAGGGCUCAACCCUGGAACUGCCUUUGAUACUGUCAGUCUUGAGUUCGAGAGAGGUGAGUGGAAUUCCAAGUGUAGAGGUGAAAUUCGUAGAUAUUUGGAGGAACACCAGUGGCGAAGGCGGCUCACUGGCUCGAUACUGACGCUGAGGUACGAAAGUGUGGGGAGCAAACAGGAUUAGAUA